UACGUAGGUGUCGAGCGUUGUCCGGAUUUAUUGGGCGUAAAGAGCCCGCAGGCGGCUUGGCAAGUUUGAGGUGAAAUCUCCCGGCUUAACUGGGAGGGGGCCUCGAAAACUGCCAGGCUUGAGGCAUGGAGAGGGAUGCGGAAUUCCCGGUGUAGUGGUGAAAUGCGUAGAUAUGCGGAGGAACACCGAUGGCGAAGGCAAUCCCCUGGACCUGUACUGACGCUCAUGCACGAAAGCGUGGGGAGCAAACAGG
rnacentral:rRNA from 1 species